UCAUUUUUGGUAAGCCCUUCUCGGCUUCACUGCUUUGCUUAGGGCAUUAUCGGAUCAGGCUGCAUCGGCUUUUGCGCUUUGAUUUCCCCCAUUCUUUCCAUUUUCAAGCAAAUCCUCAGAGGGUAGCAGGUGUCUAACUUCUUCCCUCAGCUGUUCUUUGUUCAGAUAUCAAGGUUAAUUGAGCAAUGGCUGAAGAGCAAGUAGAUUUUGGAGACGAGGAGUACGGAGGGGCACAAAAGACUCAUUAUCAAGGGAGUGGAACCAUACCUGCUCUUGCAGAUGUAGAGAUGAUUGGGGAGGAUGAUGAAUACGAUGAUCUCUACAAUGAUGUUAAUGUUGGAGAAGGUUUUCUUCAGUUGCAACGAUCUGAGGCACCUGCUCAACCAGCUGGCAUGGGCAGUGCUGGACUUCAAGCUCAUAAAAAUGAGGCUCCUGAACCAAGAGGUGAAGCUGGGGAUCCACAAGGGCUGAACAUCUCCGGAAUUUCAGUUCAAGGGAAGUACGCCAAUGUUAGUGCCAGUUAUCGUGAACCAGAGGGGCAACCAGCUGUUAACAGACCAGAUAUAGGAUCUGGAAGUUAUCCAUUUGGGUCUACCAAUUCACAAGGGGGCGGUGUCAUGGAGAUGAACCCCGAUACCCAAGUUAAAAAUAUGGGUUUUCAAGGAUUAACUUCAGCAUCCUCUAAGGUUGGGAGGACCAGUCCUUCUGGUGUGCCUCAAACGAUUGCUAACAACCUUGCUAUAUCCCUAAAUUCAGGUGCUGGUGGUCCUCAAGGAGCUUCUCCAGUUCAACAUAAUCAAAUGGGUAUGAAUGCAAAUCAUCCUAUGAUGAAUGAAAAUCAGGUUAGACCAUCUAUAGAAAAUGGUCCAACCGUGCUUUAUGUUGGUGAGUUACAUUGGUGGACAACUGAUGCUGAGCUUGAGUGUGUUUUAUCUCAAUAUGGAAGGGUGAAGGAUAUUAAGUUCUUUGAUGAGAGAGCUAGUGGUAAAUCUAAAGGGUAUUGUCAAGUUGAGUUCUAUGAUUCUGCGUCUGCAGCUGCAUGCAAAGAGGGAAUGAAUAGUUAUAUGUUCAAUGGACGAGCUUGUGUUGUGGCUUUUGCUUCACCACAAACAUUGAAGCAGAUGGGAGCUUCUUAUACAAACAAAGACCAAGGUCAGCCUCAAGUACAGCCUCAGGGAAGGAGGCCAAAUGAAGGUUUUGGGAGAGGUGGUAAUAUGAAUUACCAAGGCGGGGAUACAGGAAGGGGCUAUGGAAGGGGUGGCUGGGGGCGGGGUGGUCAAGGUGUCGGUCGAGGUGGCGGUGGAGGACCUAUGAGGGGAAGGGGAGCUGUAGGUGUAAAGAACAUGGUUGGGAGCUCGGCCGGAGUUGGAAAUGGUGCUUAUGGUGCUGGGGCCUAUGGACCAGUACUGGGAGGUCCUGGAUUUGGUGGUCCUGCUGGUGGCAUGAUGCAUCCACAGGGUAUGAUGGGUGCUGUGUUUGAUCCAACAUAUAUGGGUCGAGGAGGUGGUUAUGGAGGUUUCCCAGGACCAGGUUUUCCGAGUAUGCUUCCUUCAUUUCCAGCUGUUAAUACAAUGGGACUAGCUGGUGUUGCUCCUCAUGUCAAUCCUGCUUUCUUUGGUCGUGGAAUGGCACCUAACGGAAUGGGAAUGAUGGGUGUUUCUGGAAUGGAUGGGCCUCGUUCUGGAAUGUGGACUGACUCAAACAUGGGUGGGUGGGGAGGUGAUGAGCAUGAUCGUAGGACAAGAGAGUCUAGUUAUGGUGGUGAAGAUGGUGCUUCAGAGCAUGGGUAUGGGGAUGCGAAUCAUGAAAAAGGAAGGUCAAGUGGUGCCACUCGGGAAAAAGAGCGAGUUUCUGAGCGUGAGUGGUCUGGAAACUCAGAGAGGAGGCAUCAUGAUGAGAAGGAACGGGAAGUGGACAGGUCUGAACGGGAGCACCGUUACAGGGAAGAAAAAGACAGCUACAGAGAGAAUAGACAUCGUGGACGUGACCUGGAUUAUGGUGAUGGCUGGGAUAGGGGACAAUCUUCUUCAAGAUCUCGGGGAAGGUCCCAUGCAACCCGAGAAGAAGAGCACAAGUCUAGAUCAAGGGAGGCGGACUAUGGGAAGAAGAGACGCCUACCAUCAGAGUGACAAACUAUGCUGAGAAUGUUUCUUUACUCUCUAUUAUGAGAUUUCUAAUUAAGCUUUUGCUCUCAGUUUCCCUCGACUUGGUUGCUAUAUCAUUCCAGCAUUCUUUGUGAUGAUUGUUGAUCCCUAUGCAGAACGUGGCUUCUUAAAGGUAGUAGGAGUAAAAUGAGGCAGCUCAUUGUUGAGGAAGAUGUGUUAGUAUGGCUGGCUUCAUUGGCCUCUGAUAUUUGCUUUGGCCCUUUCAAGUGUGCAAUAUAUAUAUAUAUAUAUAUAUUUGAGCCUGCUAGGACAUUGUAACUUCUGGAAAGAAAGUAAAUCCAACUGAAUCCAAGAAUUGGAAUGUUGGUGAUAUGUAGUCUUCUUGUAAAGCAUUUUUUUCUUGUAAAUUCAAUCUGUUGAUUAGGUCCAUAUCUUGUAAUGGCAUCUUUCCUUGUUUCGUUGUACGUCCCAUAUUCAGCUUUCCAUGUGUCUUGUAGGAGUUUUGUGCAGAAAUUGAGGCCAACACUUGUUCAUGCUUGUUUAUACUUGUAACCAUCAUGUUAGGUUAGGAUAGGCAUAGAUGAGCUAGAUGAAAAUUGUAACAGAGGGUCUCGCUAAUCCAACUGUAACUGUUGAUGUAACAUACAUAUGCCCCAGUUUCUGUUUAAGCACUUGUAAAUGCUUGUAUAUACUUGUAAUAUAUAUGUUAGCAUAGAAUAGGCACAGAUGAGCUAGAUGCAAAUUGUAACAUAGGGUUGCUGAUCCAACUGUAGCCGUUGAUGUAAAA